CAAACAAAACCACAACCAGAACAGACCACCUUUCCUUCAAACCUGAUUCUUCCACUAUUUGUUAGCAGCUUUCAGUGGCAACACAAAACUGAGUGAUCCUGCCUUCAGGAAGAUGGCUCUUUCUCUGGAGAAAGAGGAGGUACCAAGAAUUUUUCCAGAAGCUGCGAAGAGGUGACUGUAAUUCUUUGUCUUUGAUCAAAAUUGGGGUCUUCUAUCUUUAAAAGACCUUGGCACCAGUGGUAUUAAUGCAACCCCUGCUGGCUGUGGUUGAGUGGAGAUGAAGCCUGAAGUCCCUGCCGUUGCCCUACAAACAUGAGUAUAAUUAAGGAUGCAGUGGAAUGAAAGCAGCCGCACCACCCGGGAGAGCAUCCACUGUAGACACAGGAGCUAUUUUCUGCAUCGCACCCUCUGAAAGGCUCCAGAACAUGAAAAAUGAUGGCUUCAGAGGCAGACAACGGGGAUACUGAAUGCAAAAAAGGACUUUCUCGCUCCAUCUCUCCAAAAGACCCAUGCCUUGUGACAGUGGUAUCAGGGCAGCAGAUGGCAAAGUGCGAACAGCAUGGGAAGUCAUCAGGAGUCCCUGGAAAGUGUAUUUCGGGAAGCUGUGUGGCAAAUCAGGGAACAUUACAGACAGUACUGAGAGCAAGGCAAUCGUCUGCAUAGUCAUAAAAUAACCUUCACCUUUUCUGGCGGAGACUGACACUGCAGUAAACAAGCUCAAACUGGGGAAGGCACACGGUAAAUGUUACAGAUGAAGUCAUAAAAGUCUGGCAGCCACACAGUUCGUGUCCUUCAUAAAAUCUGUGAAGAAGCAAAUGGGAAGCCAGGGACUGGCCAAAGUACCAGCACAAAUCAAUCUACCUUUCACCAUCUAAGGGAAAGAAAAGCAGACCUGAAAAAGACGUGCUGAGCAGAUCUCUUCCCAAACCCUGUUAAUGUGCUACCACAUGUUACUGGAACUUGCAAAGCAAGAUGGGGUCCAAGAAGAUUGAAUGAGUUGGGACCGGUAGAGGGGCAGAAAAAUCUUUUCUUUUUUUUCUUUUAAAGUUGGGGUAGCCUGAGAUAAUUCGGUCAUCUGCUCUCUGUGAAUCUGCAGUGGUCUGCAAGCCAGUUUGGGAAAGCUAUACACACACCAAAGCUACUUGCUGUGAUUUGUAUGGCUGCCUUGAUCUGUUUAAUUUUAUUAAAACUUCCAGAGGAAAUCAUAGUAGAUGUUUUACAUGGAA